rnacentral:rRNA from 1 species
AUGGAGCCAGCCGCUCUUGCUCGAUGCCACGAUACACAACACCAAGUUCCUUUUCGACUUGCUGUUCAUCACGUCGAUGGCUUCCAUGGAGCAGAGGAAAGUAUGCCAUCUUCCUCUAGGCAGAUAGCUGGACGGCCAGGAGCUGUCGUCCUGCUACCCUAUGCCAAUGGAUGCGCCUCCCAGAUGGCUAGCAAUGCCAGAUCCAGCUGGAAAGGACUCUACGGGGGUGAGAGGUGGAUAACAAUAGCAAGAAGGAGCAUGCCAUCGAGGAGUGCAAGCAGCGGCACUCCUCCGCAAUGGGGUAUGGCUGCAGGGGAGGGGACACGGCCAACGACAGGAAGAAGGAGCAAGUCGUCGAGGAGUACAAGCAGCAGGUUUCCUGUGACUGGAAGUCUGAAAAUGAAGAUAGGGCAUAUUGUUUUGGUUCUGUGGCCGGAGAUAUUGUGGCUUGAUUUCCCUAGAGCAAUCGGACCCUUCCAAGAUAGAAGAUAUUUGGGAUUGACGUUCUGA